ensembl:lncRNA
UGGAGGCUGGCAGUGCUGUCCUUGAGUGCAGACACCUCUGGGGUUGUGUCACCUCUGACAGUGGCAGAGGAAGGGCUGCAAUGAAGCACAUGAUAUCACUUCAGUGGGGCUGUGUGCUCUCAAGGGGUCGUGGCAUAGCGACACUGCUAUGGGGUUGUGGCCACUACUAUGGGGGAUGAAAUGGGUUUGUGAUCCCUACUGCCAUGGGUUCAUUGCCAUGGACCUGUGUCCCUUCAAGGGGGAAUGUCUCUACUAUAGGGUUGUGACCCCUCUUAGAGGGAUAUCAUGACCAAGGGACUGUGACCUCUCAUGGGAGAUGACACGGGGUCACCAACAUGGGACUGUUUCCCCUCAAGGGAGAACAGCACUGCCAUGGGGUUGUGAUCUCUGGUGGAUGGAUAUUGGGGUUGUGACCCCUGAGGGGGACUACAGAAGGUGACUGCCAUGGGGCUGUGUCCUCUAACAGCAGGAUGCUCUGGCCAAGGGGUUGUGACCUCUCAUGGCAGAUGGCAUGAGGUUGCUGAGAUGGGGCUGUAUCCUUUCAUGGGGACGAGGCGUAGAGUCACUGCCAUGGGGCUGUGUGCCCUCAUGGGGACACAUUAUGAAGGUCACUACCACAGGGACUUGCUAUGUCACUUCCAUGGGGCUGUGUCUCCCCAUGGGGACACAUUAUGAGGUCACUGCCAUGGGGCCAUGUUAUGAUGUCACUGCCUUGGGGCUGUGUCCUUUCAUGGGGACACAUUAUGAAGGUCACUGCCAUAGGGAUGUGUUAUUAGAUGACUGCCAUGAGGCCAUGUUAUGAGGCGACUGCUGUGGGGACACAUCAUGAGGUCAAUGCCAUGGGGCUGUGUCCCUUCAUGGGGACACAUUAUGAAGGUCACUGCCAUGGGGACGUAUUAUGAUGACGCUUCUGUUGGGGUGCAUCUCCUCAUGGGGACACACUGUGAAGGUCACUGCCAUGGGAACACAUUAUUGGGUCACUGCCACGGGGCUGUGCACCCUCACAGGGACACGUCAUGAACAUCACUGCUACGGGGACGCGUUAUGACAUCACUGCCGUGGG